rnacentral:sRNA from 1 species
AAAGUAUAUCGGCUGAUCGCUUGGCUUAACCUUAUUCAGUGAAUCCUGACACAUAUCAAGCAAAAUAAAUAUAUCCAGCAGUUUCAUCAUUUCAAACAUAAAGCCAUACUUCAGUUUUGUUAUUUUGGAAGGCCAACUGGUGUGAGACGUUUAUUCAUCGGUUCACGAAGAAAAGAAAAGCAACAAGAUCCGUCCACAAUUGUUGCCCAAUGCUGAGCUAUUUGUUGCUAUCGCACUAGAAGAGUAAAUGUACAAAAAGAGACGACCUUAAUCCAAUUUUGGCGCGGAUGUCUUCGAAGGAAUGGAAUCUUCCAUUUGAUGAAAUGAGAUGAAACAAUGCCUUUCAAGUCAGCAUUUUAAUGUUUAUAGUUUUAUUGUAAUAGUUAUUACAAUAUAAAUGCAAAAUG